rnacentral:rRNA from 1 species
UCACCUGUUUAUCAAAAACAUUUCUUAAUGAAAUUUAAUUUUAAGUCAAAUCUGCUCAAUGAAUUUAUUUAAAUAGCUGCAGUAUAAAUAACUGUACAAAGGUAGCAUAAUAAUUAGUUUUUUAAUUGAAAACUAGAAUGAAUGAUUUAAUGAAAUAAAAACUUUAUUAAAUUUAAUUAAUAAAUUUUUUAUCUAAAUAAAAAAAUUUAGAUUUAAUUUUUAGACGAAAAGACCCUAAAGAAUUUUUAUUUUAAAAUAAAUUAAAAUUUAUUUUAAUAUUUUAAUUGGGGAAAUUUUAAAAUUUAAUAAAUUUUUAAUUUAUUUAAACAAUAAUUUUUGUAUAAUUUUUAUUUUUUUAAAAAAAUAAAUUAAAUUACCUUAGGGAUAACAGCAUAAUUUUUUUAAAAAGUUCAAAUUUAUAAAAAAGUUUAUGACCUCG